rnacentral:rRNA from 1 species
AUUGAACGCUGGCGGCAGGCUUAACACAUGCAAGUCGAGCGAGCGGCGGACGGGUGAGUAAUGUCUGGGACACUGCCUGAUGGAGGGGGAUAACUACUGGAAACUGUAGCUAAUACCGCAUACCAUCAGAUGUGCCCAGAUGGGAUUAGCAAGUAGGUGGGGUAAUGGCGCACCUAGGCGACGAUCCCUAGCUGGUCUGAGAGGAUGACGAGCCACACUGGAACUGAGACACGGUCCAGACUCCUACGGUAGGCAGCAGUGGGGAAUAUUGCACAAUGGGGGCAAGCCUGAUACAGCCAUGCCGCGUGUGUGAAGAAGGCCUUCGGGUUGUAAAGCACUUUCAGCGAGGAGGCGUUACUCGGAGAAGAAGCACAGGCUAACUCCGUGCCAGCGGCCGCGGUAAUAC